rnacentral:rRNA from 1 species
GAUGAACGCUGGCGGCGUGCCUAAUACAUGCAAGUCGAGCGAAUGGAUUAAGAGCUUGCUCUUAUGAAGUUAGCGGCGGACGGGUGAGUAACACGUGGGUAACCUGCCCAUAAGACUGGGAUAACUCCGGGAAACCGGGGCUAAUACCGGAUAACAUUUUGAACCGCAUGGUUCGAAAUUGAAAGGCGGCUUCGGCUGUCACUUAUGGAUGGACCCGCGUCGCGUUAGCUAGUUGGUGAGGUAACGGCUCACCAAGGCAACGAUGCGUAGCCGACCUGAGAGGGUGAUCGGCCACACUGGGACUGAGACACGGCCCAGACUCCUACGGGAGGCAGCAGUAGGGAAUCUUCCGCAAUGGACGAAAGUCUGACGGAGCAACGCCGCGUGAGUGAUGGAGGCUUUCGGGUCGUAAAACUUUGUUGUUAGGGAAGAACAAGUGCUAGUUGAAUAAGCUGACACCUUGACGGUACCUAACCAGAAAGCCACGGCUAACUACGUGCCAGCCGCCGCCGUAA